rnacentral:rRNA from 1 species
GAUGAACGCUGGCGGCGUGCCUAAUACAUGCAAGUCGAGCGAACAGAUGAGGAGCUUGCUCCUCUGACGUUAGCGGCGGACGGGUGAGCAACACGUGGAUAACCUACCUAUAAGACUGGGAUAACUUCGGGAAACCGGAGCUAAUACCGGAUAAUAUAUUGAACCGCAUGGUUCAAUAGUGAAAGACGGUUUUGCUGUCACUUAUAGAUGGAUCCGCGCCGCAUUAGCUAGUUGGUAAGGUAACGGCUUACCAAGGCAACGAUGCGUAGCCGACCUGAGAGGGUGAUCGGCCACACUGGAACUGAGACACGGUCCAGACUCCUACGGGAGGCAGCAGUAGGGAAUCUUCCGCAAUGGGCGAAAGCCUGACGGAGCAACGCCGCGUGAGUGAUGAAGGUCUUCGGAUCGUAAAACUCUGUUAUUAGGGAAGAACAAAUGUGUAAGUAACUAUGCACGUCUUGACGGUACCUAAUCAGAAGGCCACGGCUAACUACGUG